UACAGAGGUCUCAAGCGUUGUUCGGAUUCAUUGGGCGUAAAGGGCGCGUAGGCGGCGGGGUAAGUCGGGUGUGAAAUCUCAGGGCUCAACCCUGAAACUGCACUCGAUACUGCUUUGCUUGAGGACUGGAGAGGAGACUGGAGUUCACGGUGUAGCAGUGAAAUGCGUAGAUAUCGUGAGGAAGACCAGUGGCGAAGGCGGGUCUCUGGACAGUUCCUGACGCUGAGGCGCGAAGGCCAGGGGAGCAAACGGG
rnacentral:rRNA from 1 species